rnacentral:rRNA from 1 species
AGAGUUUGAUCCUGGCUCAGGACGAACGCUGGCGGCGUGCUUAACACAUGCAAGUCGAACGAGAUCCAUUCAGUAGCAAUACUGAUGAAGAUCUAGUGGCGAACGGGUGCGUAACACGUGAGGAACUUGUCCCGGUCUCUGGGAUAACAGUUGGAAACGACUGCUAAUACCGGAUGACGUCGGAACUUCGCAUGGAGUACUGACGAAAGGGUUACUGGAUCGGGAGAGCCUCGCGGCCUAUCAGCUUGUUGGUGGGGUAACGGCCUACCAAGGCAUCGACGGGUAGCUGGUCUGAGAGGAUGAUCAGCCACACUGGGACUGAGACACGGCCCAGACUCCUACGGGAGGCAGCAGUGGGGAAUCUUGCACAAUGGGCGAAAGCCUGAUGCAGCAACGCCGCGUGCGGGAAGAAGGCCCUCGGGUUGUAAACCGCUUUCAGAAGGAACGAAACUGACGGUACUUUCAGAAGAAGGUGCGGCCAACUACGUGCCAGCAGCCGCGGUGACACGUAGGCACCAAGCGUUGUCCGGAUUUAUUGGGCGUAAAGAGCUCGUAGGCGGUUCAGUAAGUCGGGUGUGAAAACUUUGGGCUUAACCCAAAGCGUGCAUCCGAUACUGCUGUGACUUGAGUUCGGUAGGGGAGUGGGGAAUUCCUAGUGUAGCGGUGAAAUGCGCAGAUAUUAGGAGGAACACCGGUGGCGAAGGCGCCACUCUGGGCCGAAACUGACGCUGAGGAGCGAAAGCAUGGGUAGCAAACAGGAUUAGAUACCCUGGUAGUCCAUGCCGUAAACGUUGGGCACUAGGUGUGGGUUCCAACCAACGGAAUCCGCGCCGUCGCUAACGCAUUAAGUGCCCCGCCUGGGGAGUACGGCCGCAAGGUUAAAACUCAAAGGAAUUGACGG